CUGGUCGGCUGUCUGUCGGAGCAGACCACACUAAAACACCCCACAGCGGUUACCACUCCCUGGCAAACGUUGGUCAAUACACGUAUUGUUCCUCAUUUGGCAGCAGCGGCAGACAAUGUGUGCGCACGGGCGUGUGCGAUGCACGCUUAUUUGAAUUUCUGCAUUGCGCUGGUAAAAGUUUCUCGCUUGUUUUGUUUCCAGGCCUUCACUCAGGAGUCGGGGGUCACAUGUUUUCCUCUCUUCUGGAGCGGGGUGUGGCUGAUGCUGCUCGGUCUGUGCAUGCCUUGUGUUUGCAGCGCGAGGGAGCCCACUGUCAUGUGACUGCAGGAUGGAGCAGGCCUAAGUCUAUUAGAAUUACAGAAAUUCCUCAGAAUGGCAGCGUAUCAAAGCUGGGGUCAGCUCCAGCUGCACACGCUUUCCCUUUAAAGAUCUGGAAUGCCAUUCCUAUUUUCAUCUGACAGCCUCAUCUCGUUUCAAAUCCACCUUCAUUAUAUUUUUUUCCUCCUCAUGAUGUGAUAUUCAGGUGACGCAGACUGAGUUCAUUGGACGGUUUUAUCAAGCUCACGCCUUCAUUCAUGCAGGAAAUUCCAAAAGGCCUUUCUGACUCUUUUCACCACCUUUGUUCCAAUCGCACAGAUGGUAAACAUGUUCGUUAUCAGUACUUUAAGACGAGCACAAUAUCCAGCAAGCUUCGGUGAUAAAGUUGAAUUCGUCAGUGCAGGAACACCGCCAGGCUUUAAGGCGUAUCGAAAAGAUAACGAUCGACAUUGCACCUUUGCUGGAUGGACUCAGGGCUUGGUUGUGUGCGCACCUGGACCUUUAGGAUUCCUGCAUUAUCUAAGGAAAUGACAUCUAUAAAAUCUGUCUUACAGCUGCAUUUGUUAGUUUCUGAGGUUUGCAGAUUACAAGUAGUUCGGUUGUAAUAUACAUACCAAAAUGAAUGAAGACCGGGGUUCAAAGAGCUGGAUGGAACACGUAGCAGUGUGUUUCCGAACUAUUUCAACGCUGGCGAUUGCUUUGUUAUUUUUAAAUACAGUGUUUCUGGUAGAAAGUGACACAAAUACACAGGUUAAAAAUGUCAGCACAAUAUCCUGGAAUUACGCUCCUAAUUCCACUUCCUUUCAAACACUGAUACUGCUACUUUAACACUGACAGAGAUUAUCAUUGCUACUUUUCAUUUCAUGGUGGAAACAUUUUAAUUAUUUGCUUGACCAGAUCUCAGCUGGUUCUGGGUGUGCUCUCCAGUCCUCCAGUCUGCUGGUGUCAGCUGCUCCAGUGUCAGAUCCACAUGGCGCUCUGUGUGAUUGUCUCUGGGUGCUGCUGAGCGCACUUCGUCUUUCACCUGCAUUUCCUCUCACUGACCAUGUCGGCUGCAUGUUUCACACAACACAGACACAUCUGUUUUACUUCGCUUUCCUCUCUGUUUCUGCUUUAAAAAAAAAAAAAAGUGAACAUUAAGUAACAGUAAAGAAACUGAAACAAGAAAUGAGAUCUUCUGAGCCAUAAUCGAGGCUGUUUUUGUUUUCUUCCCACUGGUGUAUGAAAGCACAGCUGAGUUUCUUGAAAUGCGACUAUAGCUUUGAUUUGGAUGCAGACCUACUGCUUCUUUCCAAUGAGAUUUUUUUUUAAGGAUUAUAUAACAUUUGUAUUUUGUAGAUAAUGCUUGUCCAGUAUCUGGCAAUAACCUGCUGGGGUUUUUGUUCAGUCCGUCACCUCAAAUGUCUUCAACUACAAAAUGUUGAAGUGUUCUACAUUUUUGUGCUUUUUUUUUAAUUGACUUAAUUUAAUCUCUGUGGUUUUUCUUGCCUAGGUCAUUCAGUAAGCAACAGUUCCCUAUUUUGUUGGAUGAGUCGUUAUGCUCACAGAUAUUAUUACUUAUCGUGAAGCUCUUUUUGAUGUGGCUCGGAAUUCAAAGUUAGGUCAGUGACUGCAAGCUCCUCAGUCCUCGAUUCAGUGUGAAACAACUUCUUACUCGACAAUUAACGUGUGUUUUCAUAACUUGAAACUGAUUUCAGGAAAUUCCCUUUCCAGAACACAUUAGUAAAGAAUCCUCUGACGUUUGCCUUCCUGUCAUUUAGCAAACUGUUGCUUCGCUCAUCUCAGAGGACAAACAUUUGCUCCGUCCUCCAUCCUCUUUUCCACUAGAAAUGUUUUUUUUUUUUUUUUUUUUUUUUUUUUUUUUUUUGCAUGAAUUUGUCUGAGCAGCUGAUCUAACCGAUUGGGAGUCAUCCAUACUGAUUCCAGGUCCUUUUCCUUACAGAGAGGUUGUGUAUGCCUCAGAGAGCUUGAAGACACCCGAGUCUGAAGCGCUCGGCGCGCACGAGCGGCAUCCUAACGUCUCACCAUGUUUUGA